UCGUCGCAUUUAAACGACACAAACAUAACAUUCGCGUGAAGUUUCGGAAAUAAUAACAGAACUUACAGUUCUAGAAUAAAAUUAUCUUUAAUUAUAUAAAAUAAUCAAAUUAAUUAAAAUUAUCUUUUAUUAAAUCAAAAGCUGCAAGCAUUUCUAUUUGUCUUAAAAUUCGUUUCUCGUUCUCGUUCUCGCGCUAUAGACGGACAGUGUCAUUACAGUCCUCUCCUUGUGGAAAAAUGGAAAUGGAAAAUGAAAAUUGCGUUGUCAUCCUUCAUGGGGGGCGUAUAUCGUCUGUUCAACCGAGCUCUCGCAGCGAAGAAUUAUUGUCGUUGGUUAAGUGGCACUCCUUCACCCUUGACUAAUUUAUGGAUGAAUUGUAGUAAAACACAAAGGAGUUACAAGAUAUUUUCCUGUUGCUACACGUAUAUGGCAAAGCGAAAGGGGAUAAUAUCGAUAAUCGUGUUUGCCCCGUACUAAAGCGGUCACCGAUUUUCCGAGAGAACGUAUCUCGUUCCUACGGCUGGAAAACACGUUCAUCCUUUACGCCCGGCGAGCUGGCGCUCGUUUUGUAUCCUUCCGCCUGCUGCCAGGGUGAAGCCCUGGGCCUCCCGUAUCUCCCGAGAAAUAAGUACCAUGGAUAAGCUUAAAAAUGGAUACCUGCAGAACAUCGAGGCUAUACGAUGAUUUGUAAUAGCGAAGGAUUGAUAUGUGUACGCGCGAUAUGAAGCAGGUCAUUCUUUAUUAACUAACAGCAACGUGCUCAGAUGGAUGAUACUCAAUCUCAGGAACCGGGCGGCUGUAAUAGAACAUACGCGACAAACAAUUUUGCAUUAAUAUUGAACGUAAAGUUUCAUAUUAAUCAUCGAAAAAAUUUAUAUCGUACGAGGGAAAAAUUCUAUUCGAUGCAUUUAGUGAAGAAAUAAUUAUUUGAAAAAACAAGGAAUAAUGUUUGUACUUUCAAUUUAAAUUUAUUUGAAAGAAUAAUGUGU